rnacentral:rRNA from 1 species
UCAGGCCUACGGGAGGCAGCAGUGAGGAAUAUUGGUCAAUGGGAGAAAUCUUGAACCAGCCAAGCCGCGUGAGGGAAGACGGCCCUAUGGGUUGUAAACCUCUUUUGUCGGAGAACAAAACCUGGGACGAGUCCCGGACUGCGUGUAUCCGAAGAAAAAGCAUCGGCUAACUCCGUGCCAGCAGCCGCGGUAAUACGGAGGAUGCGAGCGUUAUCCGGAUUUAUUGGGUUUAAAGGGUGCGUAGGCGGUCCGUUAAGUCAGCGGUAAAAUUGCGGGGCUCAACCCCGUCGAGCCGUUGAAACUGG